UCCCCGUCGGCAGGCAUGCGAGGUGCAAC
rnacentral:piRNA from 1 species